GGAUUGUGGCUCUGUGGUAGAGUGCUCACCUAGCACAUGUGAGACCCUGGGUUCGAUCCUCAGCACCA
rnacentral:tRNA from 1 species